AUCAGAACAUCCAUCUUAUUGCUUCGUAAAGAUACUGGAUAAAGUUUUAAAAAAUGAAAGCAGAACAUUUUUCACUGGGGAACGUUUUUUUCAUUUGCACUUGCCUUCUGUGGAUAAUAACCGUUUCUUCAGCCUUAGAAAAAGACAUAAUCGCCAAAAACGACAAGAUAGCAGUUUACCAAUCAAGUACGUACGAAACGUGUUAUGCUUCCAAUGUUAUUAACAAUAUGACACUUCAUGCUACGGUUGUU